GCCGGAGUGACGAAAUUGGUAGACGUAGCGGACUUAAAAUCCGCCGCCCGCUUCAGGGCGUACGGGUUCGAUUCCCGUCUCCGGCACCA
rnacentral:tRNA from 1 species